rnacentral:rRNA from 1 species
CAGCAGCCGCGGUAAUACGUAUGUCACAAGCGUUAUCCGGAUUUAUUGGGCGUAAAGCGCGCCUAGGUGGUUAUGUAAGUCAGAUGUGAAAAUGCAGGGCUCAACUCUGUAUUGCGUUGGAAACUGUGUAACUAGAGUACUGGAGAGGUAAGCGGAACUACAAGUGUAGAGGUGAAAUUCGUAGAUAUUUGUAGGAAUGUCGAUGGGGAAGCCAGCUUACUGGACAGAUACUGACGCUAAAGCGCGAAAGCGUGGGUAGCAAACAGGAUUAGAUACCCGUGUAGUCCCUGUCUCUUAUACA